rnacentral:rRNA from 1 species
AUUGAACGCUAGCGGGAUGCCUUACACAUGCAAGUCGAACGGAGUGGCGAACGGGUGAGUAAUGUAUCGGAACGUGCCCAGUAGCGGGGGAUAACUACGCGAAAGCGUAGCUAAUAACGCAUACUAAUGGAGCGGCCGAUAUCGGAAUAGCUAGUUGGUGGGGUAACGGCUCACCAAGGCGACGAUCCGUAGCUGGUUUGAGAGGACGACCAGCCACCCUGGGAUUGAGACCCGGCCUAGACUCCUUCGUGAGGCAGCAUUGGGGAAUUUUGGACAAUGGGUGCACCCCGUAUCCAGCCAUCCCGCGUGUGCGAUGAAGGCCUUCGGGUUGUAAAGCACUUUUGGCAGGAAAGCGGUACCUGCAGAAUAAGCGCCGGCUAACUCCGUGCCAGCAGCCGCGGUAAUUC